GCCGGUGGAGCGACGUGAAUCCCUUCCACAUCCCGUCGCCCCAGUUGUUUCCCUAAUUCCAUACCGUGCGCAACAACACACAUUGACGCGUCCCAAACUCUCCUAUCUCUACUACUACCCGUAUAAGCAUGAGAAAGACGCGAAAAAUCCACCUAAACAUCCAACUUGCGGUGUUUGUUUACAUUUGGCACCUCUGCGUGAAUAACGCAUUACAUUAACUCUCGCUGCUUCCGUCGGCUGAGGAAUUUCCAAAAGCUUCGAACUCGUUCUGCAAUGUGACUUGCUAUCAAUAUCUCGUUACCAGGAACCGACGUAACCUGACAUAGUUUUAAGCAACAUCUUGCCAUUCUGGACGAUUAUGUAGCAACCGAGAUAGGGAGUUGCCCGCCAAUCAUCGGCUUUUGCGAAACUUAGCAGCGCUUUCUUUAAGAGGUCAGUAAGGAACUACUGCAGAGUAGAGCGUAAUUACCUUGCAAAACGGCGUACUGCAAAGUAGUAUGUUAUGCUAGAUGAGAAAGAGACAGGGCUGGGAAUAUAUGUCUGGCUAGUGGGUAGAAGCGCUAGGGGAGAGGACAGGGGGCAGAGGCAGAGGACAGAGGCACAAAAGGUAGAAAGGAUGGGUAGAAAAAGGAAAGUGUCAGGAGCAUAGUAUGUUAGAUCUGAUAUUUAAGGCAAUCCACGAUAACUCAAAACAAUCCUAUUCAGCCUUCUCGGUGGCUUUUGAUUGAUUGAUCGACAGAGUAGCAUGAUCGACAGUAGCGUAAUUUUUCGUAAACAU
rnacentral:misc_RNA from 1 species